GCCAAUCAGAACUCUUGUUAUAUUUGCCUUUUGGUGCGAAACUGGUUUGUUUGGAAAAAAUGGCUGCUGCCAUGAUGGUGCCUUUUUCACAUCUUCUGCAAGUUUAUGUGACGACCUGUUUAAAGUUUAACAUUGACACGCGGAGAUGAUGCCAAUGAUUCACCAUUAGAAGAUAUGACGGUAACAGUGGUCCAGAACUUGGCUCAACCAGAGUUCCACCAACAUUGCAACAUGCACACAACCAGCAAAACAUACCAAGACUGCCGAAUGUUUGGUCAGGAAAAAGCAUCCCACAAUGUUGCGACAGGCCCAUGUUUCAGUUUAUCGAGACUAGUCGUGAAACACAGACUUCUGAUUCAUGGAGUGCGGCAAACAUAUCUGUGCGACUCGUUCACUCCACUGUAAAGACCCGCACGGCAUUAAAAUGGAUAUCAUCCGACGUUUGCAAACGAUGGCUGCAUGAGGUCUGCGUCUCACAACCUACAUCCCAAGAUAGCUUUGUGUGUGAUGUUUGUAUUGCACAAUAUAGUUGAUGUAUUGAAACCAGGCUUUAAAAAUAAAUCAAGGUCAACUACAAUUUAAAAUUAAAACUAGAAAUGGCGCGGCAGAGGCCGACGAGUAUCCCCACGCCGCAUGUUUGACCCAGGGGCGCCCUAGGUUUGGUAAUGGGGCCAUGCAUAGUCGAGGCUUUGUUGAUUCUGGUGGCGGUGAAAAUGUUAAAAUCGAAGUCCUUAAUACAAGAGUAAAAUUCACUUGGAUUUAGGUCCUCAUCCUGCUCUCCUAAAAAAUCUAAUACUGAAUCAACUUCACUGACGUCCAUUAUGUACAUAUCAUCCUCAUUGGAAUGAGAUGGCUGAACUUGCUCUGUUAUAGCCAAUCUUCAUGCUUCUGCUUUGGAAAAGUUAUGUUUUGAGGUUAAAUGGUUGACUAAAUAGUAGCGUCUCAGAAAUUUUAUAUCGCAAUCUUGUACACAACAAUGAAAAUGUUAAAUUUCAUGUCUGUCAUUGAUGUGCCUGUUCAAGAGUCCUUUUUGCUUUAAAUUGUUUGUCACAUUUUUCACACUUGAACAUUUUGAAAGAUUUUCAUAAUGAGUCUAAAAGUGUGAUUGAACAAAUUGAAAGUUUCAGCCCUUUUAUAGAUUAUUGAGGCGCUAUUCCAUGAGUUUCUCAUGCUUUUUAUGCUUGACUGCAUUCUAUCUCUUCUCUAAAAUACAGGUGUCCCUUUGCACCAAUAUUUUAUAAUCCCUUGUAUAAACAUUAGAUGGAUGAGCUAAACCAUUUCACAGAUGAAUAAACACAAAUAAUUGACUACUAAAUACAUCUCUGCGCCACUACUGUGUAACUCUAUAUAUGUUUUCAAUACACAAGCUUCAUUGUUGAAUAAUUCCUUUGUCCGAUGAAAAUGCUUGCACUUCUUCUGAUUGGAUAGAUAACCACUUAAUAGAUUUCGAAAUUUAAACGCGGACCUUAAGUUCAAGGUCAAGGUCACAGGGGUCAAAACUUUUUAAUGCGCAUGGAAAGGUCUUGUCCAGAUACACAUGCAUACCAAAUAUGAAAGCAAUAUCUGAAGGUACACAGUAGGUAUGAGCCUUUUUCGAAUCGUGUUUGCAGAUUUCGAAACCUAAACGCUGGCCUAAAGUUCAAGGUCAAGGUCACAGGGGUCAAAAAUUGUAUGCGCAUGGUAAGGUGUUGUUCAGAUACACAUGCAUAGCAAAUAUUAUACCAAUAUCUGAAGGGACACAGUAGUUAUGAGCCUUUUUCGAAUCGCGGUCGCAGAUUCAGAAACCUGAACGCUGACCUCAAGUUCAAGGUCAAGGUAGCAUGUACAAAAUUGUAUGCGCAUGAAAAGAUGUUGUCUAGAUACACAUACAUACCAAAUAUGACAGCAAUAUCUGAAGGGACACAGUAGUUAUGAGCCUUUUUCGAAUCGCGGUCACAGAUUUCAAAACCUUAAAACUGGCCCAAAGUUCAAAGUCAAGGUCACAGGGAUAAAAAUUUUCAUGCGCAUGGAAAGGUGUUGUCCAGAUACACAUGC